rnacentral:rRNA from 1 species
GACGAACGCUGGCGGCGUGCUUAACACAUGCAAGUCGAACGGAAAGGCCCUGCUUUCAGGGUGCUCGAGUGUCGAACGGGUGAGUAACACGUGGGUGUUCUGCCCUGCACUUCGGGAGAAGCCUGGGAAACUGUGUCUAAUACCGGGUAUGAGCCAUUCUGAGGGUUGUGGGUGGAAAGUUUGUUUGGGGUAGGAUGAGCUCGCGGGCGAUCAACUUGUUGGUUGGGGAAUGGCCUACCUAGGCGGCGGCGGGUAGCCGGCCUGGGAGGGUGGACGGCCACAAUGGGGCUGAGAUACGGCCCAGGCUCCUGAGGGGGGCAGGAGUGGGGGAUAUUGCACAAUGGGCGCAAGCCUGAUGCCGCGACGGCGCGUGGGGGAUGACGGCCUUCGGGUUGUAAACCCCUUUCGGCAGGGACGAAGCUUUUUGUGACGGUACCUAGAUAAGAAGCACCGGCUAACUACGUG